rnacentral:lncRNA from 1 species
GCACGGCGGUGCAGUGCCCGACGGCAGCACGGCCCCUCCCGGCCUCGGAUCUGGCCGUCAGCCUCGUCACCAGGCACACCCCACCACCGGCCGUCGCCGCACCACACACCGAUCGCCAUUAAUGGAGGGACAGAGGGAGCGCGGACAUCCAACCGCCGCCCUUGCCAUCCUUAAAUGCCCUUCCCUUUGUAACGCCUUCGCGCAUACGCCCUCGCAAGAUCCUGCAAUUGCCGUGGCUGAAUGCUGAUGCUCUCUGCUCGGCUCCUGGAACGGCAAGCUUAGCCAAUGUUUAAGUUGCUGCGCUAGCAAAAGCUGGUAGGGAGGAAAAAUUCAGGUGAAAACCUGGUGCACAAACAAGAGGCGGGGUGCUGAAGAAUGCACGUUUCGGAGACGCAGACGAUGCACUCGUACAGUCAUACAGCCAUGCGUUCGCCUACUCUUCACUUCAGUAGACAGGUGUGUUACUGAACUCUACUGUGGACUCACGCGAAUCCAAUGAGAAGGGGGAACAGUGAACAGAGACAACCAAGGCCUAAUUUGUUACCAUGAUAGUCUCGUCACGUGCACAUGCCACCCACACCUAAUCCUUUUGCCGGAAGAGGGCAUAUAGUAUGGGAGAGCAAUUGACACAUACCAGAAUCAAAAUACUUCCGCUCUAGACACUCGCGCAUGUUUUCUUGGCAAUGCAAUAUGCAUGCAAUGCAUGGUUUACAUAAGUUAGUUUCUACUCCC